AACGAACGCUGGCGGCAUGCCUAACACAUGCAAGUCGAACGAAACCUUCGGGUCUAGUGGCGCACGGGUGCGUAACGCGUGGGAACCUGCCCUUAGGUUCGGAAUAACUCCCCGAAAGGGGUGCUAAUACCGGAUAAUGUCUUCUAACCAAAGAUUUAUUGCCUUUGGAUGGGCCCGCGUUGGAUUAGCUAGUUGGUAGGGUAAUAGCCUACCAAGGCGACGAUCCAUAGCUGGUCUGAGAGGAUGAUCAGCCACACUGGGACUGAGACACGGCCCAGACUCCUACGGGAGGCAGCAGUGGGGAAUAUUGGACAAUGGGCGAAAGCCUGAUCCAGCAAUGCCGCGUGAGUGAUGAAGGCCUUAGGGUUGUAAAGCUCUUUUACCCGGGAUGAUAAUGACAGUACCGGGAGAAUAAGCUCCGGCUAACUCCGUG
rnacentral:rRNA from 1 species